rnacentral:rRNA from 1 species
UGCGUAGGCGGAAUAUUAAGUCAGUGGUGAAAUCCUGCGGCUCAACCGUAGAACUGCCAUUGAUACUGAUAUUCUUGAAUGUAGUUGAGGUAGGCGGAAUGUGUAAUGUAGCGGUGAAAUGCUUAGACAUUACACAGAACACCGAUUGCGAAGGCAGCUUACUAAACUAUGAUUGACGCUGAGGCACGAAAGCGUGGGGAGCGAACAGGAUUAGAUACCCUGGUAGUCC